rnacentral:rRNA from 1 species
UACGAAGGGGGCUAGCGUUGCUCGGAAUCACUGGGCGUAAAGCGCACGUAGGCGGAUCGUUAAGUCAGGGGUGAAAUCCUGGAGCUCAACUCCAGAACUGCCUUUGAUACUGGCGACCCUGAGUUCGGGAGAGGUGAGUGGAACUGCGAGUGUAGAGGUGAAAUUCGUAGAUAUUCGCAAGAACACCAGUGGCGAAGGCGGCUCACUGGCCCGAUACUGACGCUGAGGUGCGAAAGCGUGGGGAGCAAACAGG